rnacentral:lncRNA from 1 species
GCCAGGAAUGCCUCCUUUUCAUUAUACUGGAUUUUGAAUUACUUUUUGGUUGCUGUGAGUUUAGAAAAUGUUUACUAUUGAAGCAUUUGAGCUCUGACACUCAACUUAAUUUAAAAUUCCUCCUUGAGCCAGUAGUGACUCUUUCUUGUCUAAACCACAUAUACUUUACUUUGUCUCUUUUCAGAGAAAGUCCUGUCCUAGCCUGGGCUCAUGCACAGCCAACCACAGGAAGUCAGAUCCAGUUUGGUGGGGCCAGAUAUCCUGAGGGAGAUUUGGAAGAGCCAGUCAAGGACAAGCAAAGAACCGGUGCACAUUUUUAACAGGUACCAACAACAUUAAGAAUGUGCAGGUAGUGGUAAGAUGGCAAGCCAGAGAGAUGGAGGGUCAUCCUAGAGAAUGAGAGGCCUUUGUCUUACUGUGAAAAAGCUAAAGCUUCAAGGGGGUUAAUAAUGUCACCCAGGAAGGAAUUGCCUUUGUCCUUCCCCCUUCUAAAUCCAGUCCUUGAAAGAGGUGUUUACUGUGAAGUCAUAUGAAGAGGUCAUGUCUUCCUUGUUCAUAAUGACAUAGCAUACUAUAAACACCAAGUGCAUAGUAGGU